AAUUCCCUAGAUACAAAGUAAUUUCCGAAAUCAAGAUCAUGAAGCUUCCAUCCAUUUUCUCCUUGCUGGUAACCCACAAAAAUACAUUUUCUACUUAUACUGCUUGGAUACAACGCCAUUGUCGCAACUCCUUUUCAUCUAUGGGUUUAGAAAUGGCUCCUUCGACAAAGUCAAUUUUGCAUCGUGCUAUGAGUGAAAGACGGAUAGACCGACCCCACUCUUCAUAAUUAUCACAACAGAAAACAAUUAGGGUCUGCCUGGAUUAGAGGGGAAAGAGGUGGAAAAAAAAGCCCAGUAAAGAAAACAUACUACAAGGCUUCGAUUACAUGUAAAUAAUACAACCCAAAAUAUUUACCCUCAAAAUAUGAGCAUUCCAUUUCUGACCCCACCGUAGCGUAAAAUUUAAUUCAGGAAAUAAUUUUUUUCUCACUCCUCAUAGCCGCUGCUCCUUUCAAUACAGUGAAAAACUCUCUCCCUUCUCCACCAUUGUUGAACAUUAAGAUCUCUAGUCUCUCAUAAUCUAUAGCCGUGACAAAAUCAAGUAUGAUGAGCAGAAGUGGAGCAAGUGUUGACAAGAAUAUUCAAAGGAGAUGGACUAUGUAGAAGAUUAACUUUUGGUGAAGUUGUUGGUGGAAAUGUUUGCUGGGAAAAUGGAAAGCCAAGAGUUGUUUUAUAAGUGGCUACUUAGCCCAUCUGGAGAAGUUAUUUGCUGCAAGCAUGCCUGAAGCUGAGCUGAAAGUUCCGAAUAUAGAUUCAGGACUCGGCUAUCUUAGGAAAAACUUUAAUGCAUUACAAGAUAUCAAACAAAAAGAUAGCGGGUUCGAAUGGGAUGAUAACCAAAAAAUGGUAACCGGUGAUCGUAAGCUAUUUGAUGAUUGGGCCAAGUCAUAAAGAUGCAAGAGGAAUGUUUCGGAAAUCUUUUCCAUUUUAUGAUGAUCUUGAGCUGAUUUAUUCCAAAGAUAGGGUUACCGGUUCGAAAGCUAUAAUGCCAGCUGACAAGGAUGAUGAAGAGACAAUGCUCCAAGAUACAACACCAAGUAAUAAAGAAGAUAUGUGCUUAGCGAAGUGUCGGCUACUAAUAAGAGGCUUGUAGAUAAGGGCUCUUAUAAGGACAAAGCCAAAAAAGUGGGUAAAAAUAAAGAAAUACAAAGUAUGCAAAAAAAUUUAAAAACUAUGUUGGAGAAACUAAUUGAAAGUAGUAACGAACAAAUUGAGAAGUUGGUUUCGGUGUUGGAAGCUCCAAAGAAUUCUAAAUCCGGCUUGCGUGAAGAAUUACGGAAAGUUUGUGGCAUUUCAAGAGCUCAAGGAUUAUUGUUGUGUAAGAAGAUGAACGAGGAUGAUAUUAUGACAUUCCGAUAUUUGCAAGAUGAAGAUGAAAAAUAUGAUUUUCUUAUAAUGAUUUUAGAUCAAGUGUAAAGCAAUUUGUUCUUAUGAACUUUUUGUAAAUGUUUAAUUUCUUAACAAUUAGAAAUAUAGAAACUUUUAUUGGAAUCCACACCAUUACGUUUCACCUUGGUGCAACUACCUUUAUAAAAGAAUAUAUUCUUA